GUGACUGCGUACCUUUUGUAUAAUGGGUCAGCGACUUAUAUUCUGUAGCAAGGUUAACCGAAUAGGGGAGCCGAAGGGAAACCGAGUCUUAACUGGGCGUUAAGUUGCAGGGUAUAGACCCGAAACCCGGUGAUCUAGCCAUGGGCAGGUUGAAGGUUGGGUAACACUAACUGGAGGACCGAACCGACUAAUGUUGAAAAAUUAGCGGAUGACUUGUGGCUGGGGGGGAAAGGCCAAUCAAACCGGGAGAUAGCUGGUUCUCCCCGAAAGCUAUUUAGGUAGCGCCUCGUGAAUUCAUCUCCGGGGGUAGAGCACUGUUUCGGCAAGGGGGUCAUCCCGACUUACCAACCCGAUGCAAACUACGAAUACCGGAGAAUGUUAUCACGGGAGACACACGGCGGGUGCUAACGUCCGUCGUGAAGAGGGAAACAACCCAGACCGCCAGCUAAGGUCCCAAAGUCAUGGUUAAGUGGGAAACGAUGUGGGAAGGCCCAGACAGCCAGGAUGUUGGCUUAGAAGCAGCCAUCAUUUAAAGAAAGCGUAAUAGCUCACUGGUCGAGUCGGCCUGCGCGGAAGAUGUAACGGGGCUAAACCAUGCACCGAAGCUGCGGCAGCGACGCUUAUGCGUUGUUGGGUAGGGGAGCGUUCUGUAAGCCUGCGAAG
rnacentral:rRNA from 1 species